rnacentral:rRNA from 1 species
GUGAGGAAUAUUGGUCAAUGGGCGAGAGCCUGAACCAGCCAAGUAGCGUGAAGGAUGACUGCCCUAUGGGUUGUAAACUUCUUUUAUAAAGGAAUAAAGUCGGGUAUGGAUACCCGUUUGCAUGUACUUUAUGAAUAAGGAUCGGCUAACUCCGUGCCAGCAGCCGCGGUAAUACGGAGGAUCCGAGCGUUAUCCGGAUUUAUUGGGUUUAAAGGGAGCGUAGAUGGAUGUUUAAGUCAGUUGUGAAAGUUUGCGGCUCAACCGUAAAAUUGCAGUUGAUACUGGAUAUCUUGAGUGCAGUUGAGGCAGGCGGAAUUCGUGGUGUAGCGGUGAAAUGCUUAGAUAUCACGAAGAACUCCGAUUGCGAAGGCAGCCUGCUAAGCUGCAACUGACAUUGAGGCUCGAAAGUGUGGGUAUCAAACAGGAUUAGAAACCCCAGUAGUCC